UACGUAGGGGGCGAGCGUUGUCCGGAUUCAUUGGGCGUAAAGAGCUCGUAGGCGGCUUGCUAAGUCAGGUGUGAAAUCUCCAGGCUCAACCUGGAGUCGCCACCUGAUACUGGUAUGGCUGGAGUCCGGUAGGGGAUCACGGAAUUCCUGGUGUAGCGGUGAAAUGCGCAGAUAUCAGGAGGAACACCGGUGGCGAAGGCGGUGAUCUGGGCCGGCACUGACGCUGAGGUGCGAAAGCGUGGGGAGCAAACAGG
rnacentral:rRNA from 1 species